CAUUACUGAGUUGCAAAACUCCCAACCCAUGUGAACAUACCUUUGUUGCCUCGGUGGUAUUGCGGGGGACGUUACCCUGUAGUUACCCUGUAGCUACCUGGUAAAAUACCCUGUAGCCGCCGAAGGACUACCAAACUCUUGUUUUUUUGAUGAAAUCUGAGCGUCUUAUUUAAUAAGUCAAAACUUUCAACAACGGAUCUCUUGGUUCUGGCAUCGAUGAAGAACGCAGCGAAAUGCGAUAAGUAAUGUGAAUUGCAGAAUUCAGUGAAUCAUCGAAUCUUUGAACGCACAUUGCGCCCAUUAGUAUUCUAGUGGGCAUGCCUGUUCGAGCGUCAUUUCAACCCUUAAGCCUGGCUUAGCAUUGGGAAUCUACGUGGCGGAGCUACCCUGUAGCUACCCGGUAGGUCCUUAAAGACAGCGGCGGAGACGUGGUAUCUUCUGAGCUUAGUAAAUCUUUUUCUAGCUUUCGAACGGUGCCCGGCUCCUGCCGUUAAACAAACAAAACUUUUAAUGGUUGACCUCGGAUCAGGUAGGAAUACCCGCUGAACUUAAGCAUAUCAAUAAGCGGAGGAAAAGAAACCAACAGGGAUUGCCCCAGUAACGGCGAGUGAAGCGGCAACAGCUCAAAUUUGAAAUCUGGCCCUUGUGGUCCGAGUUGUAAUUUGUAGAGGAUGCUUUUGGCGCGGUGCCUUUCGAGUUCCCUGGAACGGGACGCCUUAGAGGGUGAGAGCCCCGUACGAUUGGACACCAAGCCUCUGUAAAGCUCCUUCGACGAGUCGAGUAGUUUGGGAAUGCUGCUCAAAAUGGGAGGUAAAUUUCUUCUAAAGCUAAAUACCGGCCAGAGACCGAUAGCGCACAAGUAGAGUGAUCGAAAGAUGAAAAGCACUUUGAAAAGAGGGUUAAAUAGCACGUGAAAUUGUUGAAAGGGAAGCGCUUAUGACCAGACUUUUUCCCGGCGGAUCAUCAGGUGUUCUCACCUGUGCACUUCGCCGGGUUUAGGCCAGCAUCGGUUUCUGUAGGGGGAUAAAAGCGGUGGUA
rnacentral:rRNA from 1 species